GACAGAGGAUGCAAGCGUUAUCCGGAAUCACUGGGCGUAAAGCGUCUGUAGGUGGUUUAAAAAGUCCACUGUUAAAAAUUGAAGCUUAACUUCAAAGAUGCCGUGGAAACUUUUAAACUUGAGUAUGAUAGGGGUAGAGGGAAUUUCCAGUGGAGCGGUGAAAUGCGUAGAUAUUGGAAAGACCACCAAUGGCGAAGGCAAGCUCUACUGGGCCAUUACUGACACUGAGAGACGAAAGCUAGGGGAGCGAAUGGG
rnacentral:rRNA from 1 species